rfam:TPA: Aspergillus nidulans FGSC A4 chromosome V
GGCCGAGUGGCCUAGUGGUAAGGCGUCGCUUUCCGGUAAGGGCUACGGCGAAGAUCGGGUGUUCGAAUCGCUCCUCGGUCG